rnacentral:rRNA from 1 species
CGUGUAGGCGGCUUGGUAAGUCAGAUGUGAAAUCCCUGGGCUCAACCCAGGAAGUGCAUUUGAUACUGCCUUGCUUGAGUACGGGAGGGGAAGUGGAAUUCCUGGUGUAGAGGUGAAAUUCGUAGAUAUCAGGAGGAACACCGGUGGCGAAGGCGACUUCCUGGUCCGAUACUGACGCUGAGACGCGAGAGCGUGGGGAGCAAACA